CCAUUCGCCGACCACGACGCGCGCUGCCCAGAACACGUGCUCUCUCAUCAAGACACAUAUUUUCUAUCGAGCACGUGGUUUCUCAUAGUUCGCUUCUAUCAGAUUAUUGUUUGCGACAGGGACAUUUUGCUGAUGGCAAAUGAAGGUACGAAAAUGAGAAUGGUAAACGAAGAUUUUAAGAGAAUGCCAUUGUUUCUGAAAAGUGAAUCUCUAAAUGAGCGGAAAAGAGAAAACUUCAUAUAAUUAUUUUUUCAAUAGUUGAAUCUAUUCAUUUAAUUAAUUGAUUUAUCUCCAGGAUAAAGUUGAAUGAAAUUUAGUACACCUCUCAUAGAUAUAUAUAUAUAUAGCUUAUUACAAAUUUAAAGUUUACCGCGGAUUUCAGACCGGAAGAUGUCAAGACUGUGAUUAUUCUACUGCAGAUCACUAUACGAAAAUUUUCAACAGGAGUUUUCUGCCACAAUGAUCAAGAUUAAAAAUAAUUGUACCUAUACAAAGGAAUUUUUCAUACAAAAAAUAAUCUUAAAAUGAGUAUUCUGCUAAUUAAAGCUCUCUUAAAGCGAUUAUAUUUCAGAAUGCCUAAAGUUUAAUGA